UACGAAGGGGGCUAGCGUUGCUCGGAAUCACUGGGCGUAAAGCGCACGUAGGCGGCUUUCUAAGUCAGGGGUGAAAUCCUAGAGCUCAACUCCAGAACUGCCUUUGAUACUGGAGAGCUAGAGUCCGGAAGAGGUGAGUGGAACUGCGAGUGUAGAGGUGAAAUUCGUAGAUAUUCGCAAGAACACCAGUGGCGAAGGCGGCUCACUGGUCCGGUACUGACGCUGAGGUGCGAAAGCGUGGGGAGCAAACAGG
rnacentral:rRNA from 1 species